rnacentral:rRNA from 1 species
UACGGAGGGAGCUAGCGUUGUUCGGAAUUACUGGGCGUAAAGCGCACGUAGGCGGCGAUCUAAGUCAGAGGUGAAAGCCCGGGGCUCAACCCCGGAAUUGCCUUUGAGACUGGAUUGCUAGAAUCCGGGAGAGGUGAGUGGAAUUCCGAGUGUAGAGGUGAAAUUCGUAGAUAUUCGGAAGAACACCAGUGGCGAAGGCGGCUCACUGGACCGGCAUUGACGCUGAGGUGCGAAAGCGUGGGGAGCAAACAGG